rnacentral:lncRNA from 1 species
AAGGGAAAAGGAAAUUCUAAAAAGAAAGGCAAAUGAACUAAGGCAACGGAAACAAAGUUGCUGAAGAGAAAAUAACUAAAAAGCUAGAAUGUUGUAAAAAUUAAUUGUAGAGCGUAAGUGUAGAUGUCCCCCUUUUUUCCAACUUUGGUCCUUUAUAUAUUGCUCUGGUAGGUCUUGGCGGUUGAGAAAAUUAAGGGAGACUGGUUGAAUAAGGAAUCCACGGGGGAGUCAAGCUGUUGGAGAGAAUUUAGGCAC